rnacentral:lncRNA from 1 species
GUGCUGGCCAGCUCUCCUGCACUGCCACAGCCACAGAGUCAAAGCUCCAGGAAGAGCCAACGGAAUCAGGAAAUACAAGCAAGAGCCAUGGGGAGGUGGAGAACAUUUGCUAUCUGUGCCUCUGAUGAGCCAGCCUCAUCAGCCAUGAUGCAUCACUUCUCAGUUUGCUGCAGAAGGAGGAAGGCUGUUCUCGUGUCCAAGUUGUGCCUGGUGUUACUACCAAAAGAUGCCUGAAGAGCUUACAGGCAUCUGGGCAGAAUGCAUUUUUGGCUUCAGUGUCUCAGAAAAAGAGCCCACCAAACCAAACAAAGCUGAUUUCAGAGAGGGCUGCUUUUCAUUCUGCUGAUAACUAUACCUCAUGCUGGGAUAUUCUCCAGGACUGUCCUGUGUACCACCAGAUACACUGGACCAGCUGCACCUCAGCAUCCCUUCCCA